AUGACCCUAUCUAUAGAGAAUAGAGAUUAAAUCUAGUCCCUAGAAAAUGCUGGAUCGUGUGGUUCCAAUUAAAUCUGCCAGCAUUUUUUAAUUAGCAUUUCCCAUGUUUGAAAAUACAUUUUAAUUAGAAUUAGGGCAUUUUGGGUAACUUUACAAGCUAGUAAAAACGGAAGGUCCGAAAUUUACUCCUAUUAACCGCGUCGUCUCCCACAAGUCGUCUCCCACAAUUUCUGAACAGAACCACGAUCGGUAGGGUUUCUGCCUUUUCAACGACAGAAUCACCGGUGACUUGUUUGAAAAGGGGCAAGGUUUGAAGAUCUGCUGAAAUCGAACGGGUAUGUCGAUGUUUUUCUAUUUUUUGGGCCUCUUCAUGUAAUUGAACAACCGAUUGAACAAAAGGUAUUUAGAUUUUUGCUUUGAAUACUUUGAUUUUCUGUUUCGAACAACUGAUUGUUGUUGACGAUGAAGAAAUUAUUGGGAAAAAUGAGAUUUCAGAUAUUGGGAUUUCAGUUUUUUGAAUAUGAUUUUCUGUUUCGCUUGUUUUUGCAUACUGUGUUCGCCGAUUUGAAUCACGCUUGGUGGAUCUAAAUAAUCAAGGUAUUGUGUUUAUUAGAUUUGAUGUGUUUGAGUUUUUUUCUUAGAAGACUUAUUGAAUGGAAACUGAAUGUAAUAUUCUCAAUUCAAAUGAGGGAUCUUCAGAAAAAUAAAAAAUAAACGCCCAAGAGUGGACACGUCUGCUCCUGCGGAUGAAGAAGGUAAAAUAAGUAACUAUAUUUGACAUAUUUUCUUAUCUGUUUGUAAUUGUUCGAGUAUUUGUAUUAGUGUGAUCUGUGCGAAACAAUUAUAUGUUGUGUUCAUGGGUUAAUAUAAUAUGUUUAAUUAGUUUUUUAGUUGUGUUAAUACUUAGUUAAUGGAAAAUUUUGAGGUAUCUGUUCGGAUUCUUUUUUCUACAUGUUCAUAUUAUAUUUUUAAUACAGAGUAAUAUAUUUCUCUUAUUAGGGGAUAUCAUAUCCUACAUUACCUCUUCUUCCACGAUAACCUAUUCAUCAACGGCGCACGGUAGGUAUUUUCAUUACACGAUUUCUUAGAACAUUCAGUAGCUUUUGAGAAUAUGGUUGGAGGAGCUUUCAUUUUUUUUUAAAAUCAUAAUGUCGCUAAUUAUCAGGUUUUUUUAUAGAUUUGGUGAAUUUGUGUGUUUGGCGUUAGUUUUUACAUGGAAAUCACUUCAAAAUCAUUGCCGCCACAACCGGCGAUGUACCCCUCAAGGUCUGCAGGAAGAGGUGCAAGAAUAAGGCCUACGCGCUUGGAUGUGGCGUCUCGCCGCGGAGCAACCAGAGAUCAAGACGGAGGCUAGAUUAUGACAAGAGGGAGAUUGUUGUAGGAGACGAAAUAUUGGCCAAGUCGAUGUACCGAAUCCUCCUCCAAUGGCAGCAGCAAUCAGCCUCCGCAAAUGGGACACCCUAAAUUGCAAGUCUGCUAUUGGAAGUGAAGGUGCUGGAAAAGGUGCUGGAAACAACUAGGAGUAGUUGUAAGAAUAAUUUGUUCAUUGAAAAAAUAUGUGUUGUUCAUUUAAAAUUUGUGAUCUGUUUAUUUACAAAAGUAUGUUCUGUUCAUUUAGAAAUUGUAAUCUGUUCAUUUACAAAUUGUGAUUCUUUGUUACCACACGUUCGAAAUAUUUAUCUGAGUGUUCAAUUUAUUCUCUA